UACGAAGGGGGCUAGCGUUGCUCGGAAUCACUGGGCGUAAAGGGCGCGUAGGCGGCCGCUCAAGUCGGGGGUGAAAGCCUGUGGCUUAACCACAGAAUUGCCUUCGAUACUGUUUGGCUUGAGACCGGAAGAGGUGAGUGGAACUGCGAGUGUAGAGGUGAAAUUCGUAGAUAUUCGCAAGAACACCAGUGGCGAAGGCGGCCGACUGGUCCGGUUCUGACGCUGAGGCGCGAAAGCGUGGGGAGCAAACAGG
rnacentral:rRNA from 1 species